UGACGAACGAAAGACAAUGGAGAAGGUCAUGCUCUUUUGUGUUUUUUCCUACCUGAUUGUUCAGAUCACUUCGAACGAUGUUUCAGAACAUGACGUGAGUCUGUUAAGAUUCCGGCUGAAUGAAAGCAUCUCUCUGAACUGCAGCAUGAUCGACACAUACGAAAUAGCCUGGUAUCACCAGAAUCCUGAGUCUGGACAACUAACACUACUGAUAUUUGCCAUGGGCCGCACAAAAGAGCUGUAUAGAAUUGAUCAAAACAGUCGCGUGAGAGUUAAAGUAGAUAUGUGGAGCAAAACAAUCUCACUACUUAUUUCUGGACUGACAGAGUCAGAUUCAGGUCUUUAUUUCUGUGGAACAAAAUCAAAUCCAGUUUUAGAAAUGCACUUUGAAAACCCCAUCAGAAUACAGAUCGAGGGUUAGUUCUGCUGACUUUUCAAUUCAUCCCAAAUUUUCAGACUGUUUUUAAUGCUGAGAAUUAUGUGACUGUUUCUCAAUUUAUUUCAAUCAUUACUAGUACUACACUCAAAAAAAGUACACUUUUUUUCCUCUGCAAUGCUACAGAAGAACCCCUUUUGUUUCCACAAAGAACCUUUUAGUGAUCAGUUCUUAAACAAAGCAGUGUGAAGAACAUUUGAAUCAUCUUUAGAACUAUUUUCCACUCUAAAGAAUCUUUUGUGCAAUGGAAAGAUUCCGUGGAUGUUAAAGGUUCUUUUUUAUGCAGUGCUUGUGCUCCAGAUUCCUGAAAUCAUGAGUGUUGUUGAGGAGUGAUCGUAUAUCUAAAGUGAUCAUAUGUUUCAAAUAUUUUCAGACAAGCUGACAGACAGAGAGGACGAAGCUCAUGCUGAUGUUGAGAUCACAGGUGAGAGCAGAAAUCAUUCUUGUUGGUGUCUUUAGUUUAUUUCAGGAACUCUUCAAGUGCAAUUUUAUCAGAGUUCAAACCCAGCACAGCCAAUCAGAAUCUGUGUUACUUUAUUCUGUUGUUUACUGAAUGUUUUCUGUCUGUCUGCAGAUGGGGUGACGCUGACGGAGCGUGUGAUUAUAUUCGGUGGUGUUGGUCUGGCUGUGCUGGUGUUUUUUCUGGCUAUAAUCAUUGCACGAAGAAACAUUUACUAUCACGGUUGGCAGAAAGGAUGGAUCGCAGCCGAACAUGCUGGUCUGACUGUUCAAAAUUCACCUAAAUGACACAUUUGUGAGGUUUAUUAUCAUGAUAAUCAGCAUUUUUGUACGUUACACCAGCGGUGGCUCACCGAUGUGAUUCAGAUGUGUUUCCGUCGGCCAGAUCUCACUUAGACGUCAGUUGUGGCAAAGCUCUGGAGGAGGAUUAACAUGUAGCUACACAUAAUCUGAGUUCAUGAGAAAGUAUAAAUGUCAUCUGUUUUAUGGCACAAACUUGUUCAAAUAAAAUGUCUUCAGUGUUAAAUGUGUCGUUGAGAGUUCUGAUCACAUAAACAGCAGUAAAACUAAGAAAUCACGUGUCACGGUCGUAUUUUCGAUGGAAGAAUUAUAGAAACGAUCAUUCUUUCUAAAUGUGAUGUAGACCUAAACAUACUGUCUGUGACUACAAAUAAACAGAAACAGAUGCGAAUGAAUA
ensembl:lncRNA